rnacentral:rRNA from 1 species
CAAGACCUCGCGCCUGAAGAGGAGCCCGCGCCCGAUCAGCUAGUCGGCGGGGUAAGAGCCCACCAAGGCUUCGAUCGGUAGCCGGCCUGAGAGGGCGGUCGGCCACACUGGCACUGAGACACGGGCCAGACUCCUACGGGAGGCAGCAGUGGGGAAUUUUGGGCAAUGGGCGAAAGCCUGACCCAGCAACGCCGCGUGAAGGACGAAAUCCCUCUGGGAUGUAAACUUCGAAAGUCGGGAAAGAAAUCGCGCAGGAUAAUACCCUGCGUGGAUGACGGUACCCGACGUAAGCCCCGGCUAACUACGUGCCAGCAGCCGCGGUAAUACGUAGGGGGCAAGCGUUGUUCGGAAUUAUUGGGCGUAAAGGGCGCGUAGGCGGCACAGCAAGUCGGGAGUGAAAGCCCGGGGCUCAACCCCGGAACUGCUUUCGAAACUGCUGAGCUAGAGUACAGAAGGGGCAACCGGAAUUCCCAGUGUAGCGGUGAAAUGCGUAGAUAUUGGGAAGAACACCUGAGGCGAAGGCGGGUUGCUGGGCUGAUACUGACGCUGAGGCGCGAAAGCCAGGGGAGCAAACGGGAUUAGAUACCCCGGUAGUCCUGGCCCUAAACGAUGGAUACUUGGUGUGUGGGGUUCUCUG